rnacentral:rRNA from 2 species
UUGACCUCAAAUCAGGUAGGACUACCCGCUGAACUUAAGCAUAUCAAUAAGCGGAGGAAAAGAAACUAACAAGGAUUCCCCUAGUAACUGCGAGUGAAGCGGGAAAAGCUCAAAUUUGAAAUCUGGCGGUUCCUUGGACUGUCCGAGUUGUAAUCUAGAGAAGUGCUACCUGUGCUGGACCGUGUAAAAGUCUCCUGGAAUGGAGCAUCACAGAGGGUGAGAAUCCCGUCUUUGACACGGACUGCCUGUGCUGUAUGGUGCGCUCUCGAAGAGUCGAGUUGUUUGGGAAUGCAGCUCAAAAUGGGUGGUAAAUGCCAUCUAAAGCUAAAUAUUGGCGAGAGACCGAUAGCGAACAAGUACCGUGAGGGAAAGAUGAAAAGAACUUUGGAAAGAGAGUUAAACAGUACGUGAAAUUGCUGAAAGGGAAACGCUUGAAGUCAGUCGCGUCGGCCGGAAAUCAGUCUUGCUUUUGCUUGAUGUACUUUCUGGUCUGACGGGUCAGCAUCAGUUUUGACCRCCGGAUAAAGUCAAUGGGAAUGUGGCAUCUCAGGAUGUGUUAUAGCCCGCUGUCGCAUACGGUGGUCGGGAUUGAGGAGCUCAGCACGCCGCGAGGCCGGGUCUUCUUGACCACGUUCGUGCUUAGGAUGCUGGCAUAAUGGCUUUAAUCGACCCGUC